GCCAGAGCUCCGAUCAGAAAACAAAGAGGCGGCGAAGAAACUCCUCACUCACUGCUUCAAUCUCGGCAUCUCUGCUCUUCCCUUUUCCCUCUUCCCUCUUCCCUCUUCCCUCCCUGUCAUCGAUGUAGUCAAACUCGUUGUGUGAGAACUGAAAACAUAUCCGACAUUCAAUUCGGGACUUGGAUCGACGUUAACAGAGAAAGGGGCUGUAGAGAUGGAGGCGAGCAUUAUGGAUAGGAGCAAGAGGAGAUGUGGAAUCGGCACUACCUGAGGAGAGGUAUUUUUAGAUAGAGUUCGCUGUUAUCACUCAGAGAUUUCUCUCGAUUUUGGAAUAGGCACCACCGGAGGGGAGAGGAGAGAAUCUCCUCUCUUCCGAGCAAUUCAUUGUCGUCGAUCACCAUAAUCUGUUCUAUAGAUCGAGAGAUUCGAGACCAUCUAAAAGAGAAAAGCAGAAAUUGCCCAGAAAAAGGAAUAGUCGAAUUCAGGGUUUCCUUCUCGAUAUGGAGCAAGAGAGCCAGUCACUGAAAGAAUUGCAUAUCUUUAUUCAUCCAAUUGAACUCUUUAUUCAUCCAA